rnacentral:rRNA from 1 species
UGAACGCUGGCGGCGUGCUUAACACAUGCAAGUCGUACGAGAACACUUCUGCUUGCAGAAGUUAGUAAAGUGGCGCACGGGUGAGUAACGCGUGGGUAAUCUACCUCCGAAUCGGGGAUAACAUUACGAAAGCGAUGCUAAUACCGGAUAAUAUCUAUUGAUUUCCGGGUCUUUAGAUCAAAGGUGGCCUCUUCUUGAAAGCUAUCGAUUGGAGAUGAGCUCGCGUACCAUUAGCUUGUUGGUGGGGUAAUGGCCUACCAAGGCGACGAUGGUUAGCUGGUCUGAGAGGAUGAUCAGCCACACUGGAACUGACACACGGUCCAGACUCCUACGGGAGGCAGCAGUGAGGAAUUUUGCGCAAUGGGCGAAAGCCUGACGCAGCAACGCCGCGUGAGUGAUGAAGGCUUUUGGGUCGUAAAGCUCUGUCAAGUGGGAAGAAACCGUAUAUGGCUAAUAUCCAUAUGCACUGACGGUACCACUGAAGGAAGCACCGGCUAACUCC